GAGAGGGAGCCUGAGAAACGGCUACCACAUCUAAGGAAGGCAGCAGGCGCGCAAAUUACCCAAUCCUAAUACAGGGAGGUAGUGACAAGAAAUAACAAUACAGAGCCUUACGGUUUUGUAAUUGGAAUGAGUUAAGUAUAAACCCCUUAACAAGUAUCAAUUGGAGGGCAAGUCUGGUGCCAGCAGCCGCGGUAAUUCCAGCUCCAAUAGCGUAUAUUAAAGUUGUUGCAGUUAAAAAGCUCGUAGUUAAUUUUCUGUUAAUUUUUAUAUACAAUGCUACGGUAUUUAUAUAAUAUUAACAUAAUUCAUAUUACUUUUUAGUAUAUGAAACUUUACUUUGAGAAAAUUAGAGUGCUUAAAGCAGGCUAUUGCCUUGAAUACUCCAGCAUGGAAUAAUAUUAAGGAUUUUUAUUCUUCUUAUUGGUUCUAGAAUAAAAAUAAUGAUUUAUAGGGACAGUUGGGGGCAUUUGUAUUUAACAGUCAGAGGUGAAAUUCUUAGAUUUGUUAAAG
rnacentral:rRNA from 1 species